AAAUUUUUGCUUCCUUUGCAAUGUUUGAGCUAGCAAUUUUGCUUCCAUUGCAAAGUGCAAGUUAGCAUGUUUUGCAUCUUGAGAUAGACAAGAUUACAUUUUUGGUAUGCAAAUUUAUAGUAUACAAGCUAUCAACUUUUGCACAUAAAAAGUUAGCAAAAUUUUACAUCUUUUGAGAUGUGCAAGAUGGACUAUUUUGCCUCUUUUUGAAAUAUAUAGCUUGGCAACCAUUGCUUCUCUUGAGAUUUGCAAGAUAGGACUUCUUGCUUCUUUUUUGAGAUUCGCAAGCUAGCAAGUUUGCCUCUUUUCGAAUUGUGCAAGCUAGCAAAUUUGCUAUCUAGCAAGUUUUGCUCCCCCUUUGUCAUUGUCAAAUAGAAGGGAAUAACAAUACAAUCAUGUAAUUUAUUUCUCUUUACUAUAAUCUUCAAACCAUGACAAGGGUAAAUAACAAAGAUGAAAAAUGAAUGUCAAAAGACAUAUAUCAUUUUUGACAAAUUUCUUCUUUUGUAGAUAGAAAGCAUGAUAGGAAACAAUCUUGAUUCAAAAAGAAAACUCAAG
rnacentral:lncRNA from 1 species